GCUCCAGUUCUCUGGGAGGAGCCACAUCACCGUCAGCCGGGCCUGGAGAGUCCGGGAGGAAUGGAGUCAGAACUGCUUGCCCUCCUCCCCCAACAGAUCCCAGAGACCUGAGACUACCAGCUGGACAACCAAGGUGCCCCUCUGAUCACCAGAUUCCCCCCGCAAAGACCACCUAUUAGCCACCGAUGUGACUUCAACAGGCCAGAAAACCGGGCGGCCAUUUUGUACCAUGCCUACAACACAGGCAUGAGACCCGAGGGGACAAUGCUGGAGUCAUAUGUGAAAUGGACACAGGUACAAGAACAUCUGGUCAAGCCGGAUUCUGCGUGGUGCAGACAUGAUGCUUUCCUAAGUCAAGGCCAAGUCUGAGGCUUCCUAUGGAACUGGGUGUGAGCCCACCUCAGCAACACUGGGGAGGAAAGAGGGACCAGGGAAACCAUGCUGGCCCCCAGAGUGGGUGCCAAGCCUUUUCCUGGGUACCCUGGAUUCUUGACAAACAUCCAUCUCUCUCCAAACUAAACUAGUCCUAUUCACAGAAC